AUGAUUAUUUUAUAUUAUUUAAUAUAAAAUAAGAGCAUUUAAUAUAAAAUAAGAGCAAGAGUGUGCUGACUAUAAAUAUUAGAAAAAUCAUUCUUUAAUAUUUUAAGCUUUUAGAGAUAAACUGUUGUUUCACACUAUUUAACACUUCUGUCUAAAACUCAGUCAAAUAUUUUUUUUUAUCGACUUUAUCUAUCAAUUUAUUUUUUUUAAAAAAAAAAUCUCAUCUUAUAGCUUUAUAAAAAUAUAUAAUUAGCCUACAAUAUAUAUAUACACACUACACUCUUAUAAGUAUAGAGUUUUUCGUGCUCAUAAGUUAUUUUCGAUGAUGGAGCUUCCGAAUUAACGAUCCAUACUAUUAAAUGAUCUGAAGUAUUUGAAAUUUUUUAAAAAUAAAUUUUAUACCUUUUUAAAAUUAAGAAAGACUCGAAUUUUUCAAUUUUUCUAUAAAAAAAAAUAAUUUCUGAUUCUUUUACACCGUUAAAUAGCAAGUAUUCUAUAUCGGUCAUUAAUAAUUAUCAAUUUUGUUUCUAUUGAUCAUAAGAUAAACGAUAUCAAAAAAUAAUUAGAUUUAAUUUGUAAAAAUUUUAAAUGCUCUAAAUUAUGGUUAACAAUAUGGAUUAUCGAUUCAAAAGUUCUAUAGCCGAAAAUGAGUUAUAAAUAUAAAGACAAUCGCAAUCAUAAAAAAUAUAUAGUAGCCUCUCUCUCUCUCUCUCUCUCUCU
rnacentral:lncRNA from 1 species